CGCGACCCCAGGUCAGGCGGGGUU
rnacentral:rRNA from 1 species